UGUGGAGGGCUGUGAGCCCUUGGCACAGGAGCCCUCUGCUCUCCCUUGGAGAAGAGAGGCCUGAGGGCAAGACGAUCUUCCCCAGAGAUAAGCAACCUUCCUCUGGGUCACAGUGAGAAAGUGAACCACCCCCAGCAUGCCUCGUUUCUAUAUGGUAAUACCCAGUACCCAGUUGGCUAGCUGGUUUCUACCCCAUCUCCUGCCUACCCCAUAUAACCUCUGCCCCCUGGCCCUGAUGCAGGGAGCCUUGUCCCUAGCCACCCCUUCACAAGGACUGCUGGACAAUAAAGGCUACCUCUGUGGAACUGCUAUACAAGGCUCCUGUCUCUCUAUCCCCGAGUUUGCCUUGGGUGAUUUCACAAAGGGCUGAAUCACAAGAGCUUAUAUCACUUCUAGCUGAGAAGUUGCUACACUACCUGAAAUCACUUGUUGCCCAGGGAAGCCUGCCACCACCCCUGGAAGAGUUGUUCCUUGCAAGACACUCUUUCUAGGAGGGUCGUGGCACACCGGGUUGUCCAUCCCCAGCAACAAGUGGUGUCCUGGGGUGCAUUAGGAAGAGCAUUGCCAGCAGGUCAGGGGAUGUGAUUCUGCCCCUCUACUGUGCCCUUGUGAGGUACCUCUGGUGUGCUGUGUCCAGUUCUGGGCUCCUCAGCACAAGGGAGACAUGGAGCUCCUGGAGAGAGACCAGUGGACAAAGAUGAUUAAGGGCCUGGAGCAUCUCUCUUAUGAGGAAAGUCUGAGGGAGCUGAGCCUGUUCAGCCUCGAGCAGAGAUGACAAAGAGGCAACCUCAUCAAUGUCUGAGUAUCUGAAGGGGGAGUGUCAAGAGGAUGGAUCCAGGCUCUCCUCGGUGGCGCCAAGCAAUAGGACAAGAGGCAACAGGCACAAACUGAUGCACAGGAAAUUCCACCUGAAUAUGAGGAAGAACUUUACCACGUGAGUGAUAGAGCACUGAAACAGAUUGUCCAGAGAGUUUGGGGAGUCUCCUUCACUGGAGAAAUUCAAGAAUUGUCUGGACACAAUUCUGUGCCAUGUCUUGCAUGACCCUGCUUGAGAAGGGAGGUUGGACCAGAUGACCCAAUGUCCCUUCCCUUCCCUUACCCAUUCUGUAAUUAUGUGAAACCCAAAGUUUCAGUCUUUUGAAAAAGCUUUGUUCUUUGUGAAUGAUUUAAUGCAAAUCCCUAUUUGAAUUGGAAAGGAGAGAUUGCAGCCAAAACUAUUACUAAAAACUACCACCUGGACUGUGAUGCAAACCUAGCCCCGUGUUACCUGCAAUCCAAAUAGGCAACUGUGUGAAGGAAGCAAGCUUAGAAAGAAAAAGUGACUUUUCCACUGAUGCUAGGAGCAAAGCCUUGCCCCCAGACUUCCAAGAGUACAGCUGUAUUCCUGCUGAUCGCUACCUGGCCAAAAACCACCUUGAUUUUCUGCCAAAUUUGAAGCUAGAAUGGAUAUGUCUGAGGCAACACACAAUCUGUAUGUUUUACAGCAGUACAACUUAGUAUGUGGCAUCUGAUAUUAGUAAUGUGUAUGUUUCCUUCCACAGGGUUAGAAUAGUGAUUCUCAAGCCCUUCUUCAUUAGGCAGGCACUGAAACCUCUACUGCUGUCCAGCUGUUGAGGAGCAACUGAAGUGAGUCAAAUACCGUUAAGCAGAUAAACACUAUAAAUCCUCAUGUGUGACAACACGAUUACAUGCAUAAUCUUUUAUUGAAGUGACUUGUUUCUGGAUCCCAAACACUGCCAUGAUGGCAAACCCUUGUGCUCUUCUUGUUCUUUAUUUUACGUAGCCAUCACUUGUCCACCAGACAAGGAGAGGGCUCUUUGUGCUAGGCAAUGUGCUAAUUUUCUAUAAGCCUACUUAAGAAGCUUAAAAAACAUUUCUAAAGAUAUACAUACUCUGACUUCUCAGUGGCACAGGUUUCCCAGAAAGGUGGUGGACUCUUCUUCCUUCGAGAUCUUCAAAAGCUCUCUGGAUAUGGACCUGGAAACCUGCUGUAGAGAACUCUGUUUGAGUAUCAAGCUUGGACCUCCAGAGGAGGUGAAGAAUAAUAAGGAGACCAACAGUAGCUGAAGGAAUUAGAACUGGAAUCUGGAAACCAUGAAAUGUGGUGUUUGUAUAAACCUGAUGGGUACAGAUCCUUUAAUCAGAAGUAGAGCAUGAAGUAUUCUGUUGGAAGCAGACACAAGGAAGCUGUGUUUAAAACUACGUUUGAAUGCUCCUGAAAAUUUUUCCCUGAAGCAGAUUUGAAAAGGAAGAGGAGGGAAUGACAAGUGAUUCCAUAUGACUUUUUUUGGAAAUUACUUUUUUUCCAAGAUCAUCUCUGCUGAAAUCAAUUUCCCUUAGUGGAGCUGACCCAACUACUGUUCUAUAUUAAGGAGCCAGGUGUUCUGCUUGGUCUGUUUUGAAUAAAUGGCAGAGUGUAUCUAAAAGACAAUUUUUAAUUUCUACUUUGUCAUAUUUAUUCGGCCUGUUCCUGUUUUAAAUUGAUGACUUGGCCUAUCUAGAAUAAAAAGGCCUAUGCUAAA